rnacentral:rRNA from 1 species
UAUACAUGUAAUGCUAUAAAAAUUUUUCGGUAUUAAUUAGUAAGCAUAUAAGGAAUUUUGAUUUAAUUUUAUUAGGUGAAAUUUUAAAAUUUUUAAAAAUUUUUAUUUAGUUUAUGAGAUUAGUAAACUUUAUUAUUAAACUAGGAUUAGAUACCCUAUUAUUUUUAGUGUAAAUUAUAGAUACCAGAUUAGUAUUAGUUAUAUUCUUGAAAAUUAAAGAAAAUGGCGGUAUUUUAGUCUAUUCAGAGGAACCUGUCCUGUAAUUGAUGAUCCACGAUUUAAAUUACUUAUUUUUAGUUUAUAUAUCGCCGUAGUUUGAAUAUUUUUUUAAAAAUUAAAUGUUCAGAAUUUUUUUAGAAAAAGUAAAUCAGGUCAAGAUGUAGCUUAUAGAUAAGAAGAGAUGGGUUACAAUAAAUUUAUUUAAAUGGAUAAAUAUAUGAAAAAUUUUUUGAAAGUGGAUUUGAAAGUAAUUUUAUUUAGAUUAUUAAAAUGAUUUUAGCUCUAAAA